GUGGGAGGGGGCUUGCUCCCGAUGGCAGUGUGUCAGUCAGCAGAAAUAUCGACUGAACCACCGCUAUCGAGAGCAAGCUCCCUCCCAC
rnacentral:misc_RNA from 1 species